CCCACCAACACCUUCUUGAUUUUAGAUUCGAGGAACCAGUAAAUGGCAGUGGCCCUGACAGUGAGAGCAGUGCAUGUCCCUCUGAAAAAAAUCCUACCAAAAUCAACAAGAAAUAACAACCUCAACUACAGGAAGAAGAAGAUGAUGCCAAUCGUUUCUUCCUUCCCCAUCAGGAUGGAGCAGAACGUUAAUAACAGAAAGCUUCCUAUACUCCUUUUUGACAUCAUGGACACCAUUGUUCGCGACCCAUUUUACCAUGACGUUGCUCCUUUCUUCGGAAUGUCUUUCGAGGAAUUAAUAGAAUCCAAGCACCCAACUGCUUGGAUUGAAUUUGAAGAGGGGAGGGUUGAUGAGAUGGAGUUGGCAAGAAAAUUCUUCAAAGACAAAAGAUCUUUUGAUUUAGAAGGCCUCAAAAACUGUAUGAGGAGAGGAUAUUCCUAUAUAGAUGGUAUUGAAGAGCUGCUUUGCAAUUUAAAAGAAAAUAACUAUGAGAUGCAUGCUUUUACAAAUUAUCCUAUCUGGUACAGACUGAUUGAAGAGAAGCUAAAUAUCUCAACAUAUUUAUCUUGGACAUUUUGUUCUUGUAUGAUUGGAAAGAGGAAGCCUGAUCCUGAUUUCUAUCUGGAAGUCAUAAGACAUCUUAAAGUUGAUCCAACAAGCUGCAUUUUUAUUGAUGACAGGAGAAGUCACCAAGAAAUGUGAAAAUUACCAAAUGGCGUACCCCAUGGCUAAUUCCUGUGAAGGCUAGUAACCUUCUGUUGCUGGUUGAGAAAUGUAAAAGCUGCAAUUGAAAUUGGCAUUAAUGGCCUGCAAUUCAAGAAUGCAAAUUUGCUGCGUCAAGAUUUGUCUAAGAUGGGGAUUGAUAUAUCAACAGAUGACGGCUAAACCAUCAGUUGGAGCUUAAAGAAGAAAACACAUCUUGAUUUCUUGGUCCCCUCGUGAAGUUAAAAUUUUCUUCAAUUUUUUUUCAUCUACUUUUCUAAAAAAUUAUUUUCUCACAUCUUGAUUUCUUGGUCCUCUCAUAAAGUUAAAAUUUUCUUCAAUUCUUUUUCAUUUACUUUUUUUAAUUUUAUUUUCUGUGAUAUUUUGUUUCUGGAAAUUGAGAAUGUUUGAAGAGUUGAGAAUUUCUUCUCCCGGAUUGAAAAAAAAAAUGAAAAGGAAGGAAGGGAGAAAUGGAUUCAAUUUUAGUCAUAAAAUUUUGAAUGGUCAAGUAGUUAUUCUGGAAAAAAUGACAAGAAUAAAAGUAAAAUGUGAUCCUGCCGGAACAUCAAGAUAUCUAGGAACCAAAAUCAAAUCAUCUUAUGAGAGCGUAUGUGCAGGUCAACGGCUGGCUGUCCAGUACUUGUACGGUAAAAUUUUAUCUCUGAUUCUAUAUUUACCAUUCUCAUUUUAUGGGAUUCAUAUGAAACCUAGAAAAGCUAAAAUUUGAAGAGAUGAUAUUCCUGAAGCAAUUGGGAACGUGGCUGUGGCUGGCCGUGUGUUUCUAAGAAAAAACCUAGUCAAGCACUUUUGCUCCACGAGCACUUGGUGUCUGUAAUAAUUUUAUGUUUUAAAGUGUUAAGCAAGCAAAUGUACUGCAUAGGAGAGGACAGGACAUAAAUUUAGUAUUGGACAGAACAAAAGGUAUGGGAGUCUUUGUCCACUCUAAUGCACCGAAUAAACCUUAUUGUAUAUAGUGCUUGUUGGUGGUGGUUUCCCUUUUUUUAUUACCACAUCUCAUAACACCUUUUAAGCAGAGUGUAUGGAUGAACAAUUUCAGAUUUCUUCUCCUUUUACCCAUGCCUGAACGCUGGUGUCUUAACUGGACAUAAAAAUUGCAGGGACAAAAUUGUUAGAGAGCUUGUUCCUUUUACUGCAAGUGUAUUACUUAAGGCUUCCAAGAAUUCAGAUGAUGGCAAUGAUAUGGAAGUCUUAUUGAGUGGGGUAGCUCCUCUGAGUGAUGAGAUUUCAUGGCUCAAGCAAGAGGCAGCCAAGGGGAAUGUUCCUCUCUUUAAUGUUAUUGUCCACUAGUCAAACCAGAAUUAUUGCAGGUAUCAUGUCAUGUCAUGUCAUAUCAGCUUCACAUCUGCAAAUGUAAUGCUUGGAAACUCUUAUACGGUGAUUCAUUAUUGUUAAUGGUUUUUGUAUCCA